rnacentral:sRNA from 1 species
GUGAAUAUUAUCUCCAUAGCAACGGCGCUAAGGUGUCCAAGAGACCGGAAGUUGAAUGUAGACCAGAUUGGGCCUCAACUGAAUGUACUUCCGAUAACAGUGAUGUCCCCUCUGUCAUGUAAAUAUUGAGGUGAAGUAAAGACACAACCAAGACACAACCAAGACACAACCAAGACACCUAACAGACCUGUUAGAACGUGUUAUAUUUAUGGAAUUCUCAUAUGAAGUUAUUAUGUAAUAAACUCAAAUAUAACAAAGAAAA